rnacentral:rRNA from 1 species
GAUGAACGCUGGCGGCGUGCCUAAUACAUGCAAGUCGAGCGAACAGACGAGGAGCUUGCUCCUCUGACGUUAGCGGCGGACGGGUGAGUCACACGUGGAUAACCUACCUAUAAGACUGGGAUAACUUCGGGAAACCGGAGCUAAUACCGGAUAAUAUAUUGAACCGCAUGGUUCAAUAGUGAAAGACGGUUUUGCUGCUACUUAUAGAUGGAUCCGCGCAUCAUUAGCUAGUUGGUAGGGUAACGCCUUACCAAGGCAACGAAGCGUAGACGUCCUGAGAGGGGGAUCGCCCACACUGGAACGGAGACACGGUCAGGACUCCUACGGGGGGCAGCAGUAGGGAAUCUUCCGCAUUGGGCGAAGUCCUGACGGGGCAACGCCGCGUGAGUGAUGAAGUUCUUCGGAUCGUAAAACUCUUUUAUUAGGGAAGAACAAAGGUGUAGGUAACUAUGCACGUCUUGACGGUACCUAAUCAGAAAGCCACGGCUAACUACGUG